rnacentral:rRNA from 1 species
CCUACGGGAGGCAGCAGUGGGGAAUCUUGCGCAAUGGGCGAAAGCCUGACGCAGCGACGCCGCGUGGGUGACGAAGGCCUUCGGGUCGUAAAACCCUGUUGCAGGGGACGAAGGAAGUGACGGUACCCUGCCAGAAAGCCCCGGCUAACUACGUGCCAGCAGCCGCGGUAAAACGUAGGGGGCUAGCGUUGUCCGGAAUUAUUGGGCGUAAAGAGCUCGUAGGCGGUAUCUCAAGUCAGAUGUGAAAACCGACGGCUUAACCGGAGGAUUGCAACUGAUACUGGGGUACUUGAGGCAAGGAGAGGAAGGUGGAAUUCCUGGUGGAGCGGUGAAAUGCGUAGAUAUCAGGAGGAACACCAGUGGCGAAGGCGGCCUUCUGGCCUUGACCUGACGCUGAGGAGCGAAAGCCAGGGUAGCGAACGGGAUUAGAUACCCCGGUAGUCCUGGCCGUAAACGAUGGACACUAGGUGUAGGUGGUAUCAAACCCAUCUGUGCCGCAGCUAACGCAUUAAGUGUCCCGCCUGGGGAGUACGGUCGCAAGGCUGAAACUCAAAUGAAUUGACGG